rnacentral:rRNA from 1 species
AAUAUGGGACAAUGGGGGCAACCCUGAUCCAGCCAUGCCGCGUGUGUGAAGAAGGUCNNNGGAUUNUAAAGCACUUUCAGUUGNGUGNAAGGGCUUUAGGGUAAUACCCUGAAGUUUUGAUGUUACCAACAGAAUAAACACCGGGCAACUCUGUGACAACCGCCGCGGUAAUACAGAGGGUGCAAGCGUUAAUCGGAAUUACUGGGCGUAAAGCGCGCGUAGGUGGUUCAGUAAGAUGGGUGUGAAAUCCCCGGGCUUAACCUGGGAACUGCUUUCAUAACUGCUGAGCUAGAGUACGGUAGAGGGUAGUGGAAUUUCCUGUGUAGCGGUGAAAUGCGUAGAUAUAGGAAGGAACACCAGUGGCGAAGGCGACUACCUGGACUGAUACUGACACUGAGGUGCGAAAGCGUGGGGAGCAAACA